rnacentral:rRNA from 1 species
GACGAACGCUGGCGGCGUGCCUAACACAUGCAAGUCGAGCGGGGUUGAAGCGAGGGGUAACUCGAGUUUCUACCUAGCGGCGGACGGGUGAGUAACGCGUGGGCAACCUGCCUCAAGGACUGGGAUAACAGCUCGAAAGGGCUGCUAAUACCGGAUAAGCCCAUGGCCUCGCAUGGGGCCAUGAGCAAAGGGGAAACCCGCCUUGAGAUGGGCCCGCGUCCCAUCAGCUAGUUGGUGAGGUGAAGGCUCACCAAGGCGACGACGGGUAGCCGGCCUGAGAGGGUGACCGGCCACACUGGGACUGAGACACGGCCCAGACUCCUACGGGGGCAGCAGUGGGGAAUCUUGCACAAUGGGCGAAAGCCUGAUGCAGCGACGCCGCGUGAGCGAAGAAGGCCUUCGGGUUGUAAAGCUCUGUCUGGAGGGACGAAGGAAGUGACGGUACCUCCGGAGGAAGCCACGGCUAACUACGUGCCAGCAGCCGCGGUAAGAUCACGUGUACG